UUUUUACAACAGAAAUUGAUUGCCUUGUUACUCAGCAUCUCUCUUUCACUCACACACAUAUUCCCCCUCUCUCUCUUUCUCCUUUUUUGUCCCCAGCCAGUUGGAGGGAGUAAAUAACUAUUGAUUUGGGCCAACUGAAGCUUGCUAGCUAAGAUGCUAUUGUGCUAACUGGUCCCUUUGUCUGCUGCCCCUGAGAUCUCCUCACAGAAAAAAGAAUGAGAUGCAUUAGUUUCAUUUGCAUCCCGUAAAAGGAUUCCUUAUUCCAACAACAUGCAGAUGUCUGUGCAGACGCUUUAUGAUUCACCAUAACACUAUAAACCAGACUGCUGGAUCCAGGAAUAAAUGGAAGGGACACUCCAUGUAUCCUUCUGGAUUCCUUCAAGUGACCUCGGGCCAAAUUCCCUACAGAGUACUAGCACCUCCGCUGCUCUGUUGCCUGUCACAGCAGGGAAACUGCUGUACAUGAGAGCUUUUCAAGACCAGACCAGAGAAAAGCUAUGAAAUGCUGAUGCUGAUGAUGUAUGAGUGUCAACCAUCAUUGUGAUUCUAAGAUAAUGGCAAUGAUAUAUUGUAUAGGAAAUGUCAUGUUUGCUGUUAUCUGUAACUGUGACUUGUUUAAUUCUCACUGUAGAAUUCCUUAGUGUGAUAAAACAGUAUUACCAAUAUAUAUCAUAUUUUUAUUAUUGUAUGCUAAAAUUGCCUAUGAAUAUGCAUUUGAUUUUGGAGGUGAAAUGAUGGCUCUACAGUGGAGUACAAGAAAGUCCUUUGUUUUUUUAUGGAUUUUAACCAAAAAAUACUCAUUUAAAUUUAUUUCUUAAGGUACAUUUUAUUUUCAGUUUUUUGCAUUUUUGUUGUACAAUUUCCUGCUGCAAGAAGACACUGUGCACUGCAAUUUGCAGAGAGAAGGGCCUCUCAUGGAGAGGAGAGCUCAGAAAAUGCUUCAGGUAAAAUAAAGUGGAUAGAAAAACACUUGACGAUGCUGCAGACUAUCCAGGGUUCAUCAAAGUUCAGUAACAGUGAAAACUGCACAUAUUGAUCAAAUACAAUCUCAUUUUCACCCAGAUUUUUGCAAUAUAGAUCUUUUCAUGAUUUUCUUAAUAUCUAAAGUAAAUGUAAAU